rnacentral:rRNA from 1 species
UGGGGAAUAUUGGACAAUGGGCGAAAGCCUGAUCCAGCAACGCCGCGUGAGGGAUGACGGCCUUCGGGUUGUAAACCUCUUUCAGCAGGGACGAAGCGCAAGUGACGGUACCUGCAGAAGAAGCACCGGCCAACUACGUGCCAGCAGCCGCGGUAAUACGUAGGGUGCGAGCGUUGUCCGGAAUUAUUGGGCGUAAAGGGCUCGUAGGCGGUUUGUCACGUCGGGAGUGAAAACUCGGGGCUUAACCCCGAGCCUGCUUCCGAUACGGGCUGACUAGAGGUAUGCAGGGGAGAACGGAAUUCCUGGUGUAGCGGUGAAAUGCGCAGAUAUCAGGAGGAACACCGGUGGCGAAGGCGGUUCUCUGGGCAUUACCUGACGCUGAGGAGCGAAAGUGUGGGGAGCGAACAGGAUUAGAUACCCUGGUAGUCCACACCGUAAACGUUGGGCGCUAGGUGUGGGACUCAUUCCACGAGUUCCGUGCCGCAGCUAACGCAUUAAGCGCCCCGCCU